GACUUGUAUAAAGAAGAGAGGUCAAUAGUCCUCUCGACCAGGGUGGGAAAGUCCUCGGACCUUGAAACACACAUAGUUGAGGCGUCAUCACCCGCUUGGUGGCAUCUAACCACGGUGUUGA